rnacentral:piRNA from 1 species
UGUACUCACAAUGUGGAGUUGUUCUG